rnacentral:lncRNA from 1 species
GGAACAGUUGCUUACCUUCACGCUGUGGGGUGUUCAAGAGAAGAUUAGCAAACAUCAAGCAAAUCAAGUUCAAAAUGUGCUUCAGUCAAAGAUGCGAACCAUCUGUCCACGUCUCCAUUAGGAAUCAGCCUUUGGCUGAGGAAGGCCAGUGCUCUCCCUGUGCUAGGAUGAGAAACGUGCAUCACUCAUGCAGAGCUGUCUGUGAACUGUCUUGACCAGCAACAACACAGCCCCUGCAGACGACGCUAAUGCAAUGCCGUGACACCACACGUCACGCUGCAGGGACAACAUGGCAGAGAUUCCUGUAAGUCUUGGGUUAUUUCUGAGUGCUGGUUAUCGUGGCAUCUGAAAAUGUAAAUAAGUGAUGUACCCUGUGGGGUAGCUCUGCUGCAGGCACCCCGGGGACCUGCUGGUGACCCUGCCCUUCUCCUGCUGCGAUCAUCCCAGGCCAGCGUGACACUCAGCAGCGUGGACGUCUCUCUGCAAACGCCCAAAUGCAGUGUAUGAAAUGUCAUCCCUAGAAAUGGCUUCAUUUGGGAUAAAGCUUUGAACUUGCGUGCGUGCCCCGCACCCCGUGGCGGACUGAGUCACUGCUUUGCUGUUGCGGCGUGGUGAGUAAAACUUUCCCAGGGGAGCCGGAGUUGAGUGAGAAAGGGAUGCAGGACACGCAGGAGCUGACACAUCUCUAUGGAUUUAAGUCGCUGUUUCCACAAAUGCUACUCACAUGCCCACACGUGUAGGGCAGGACUGUCACGCGUCCACUCUGCUCAGCUUUCCAGGCCGGAUCUGGUCCCAGCCAUUCUACCUGACCCAGACUCCCCGCACCCCUGCCAUUCCCCCAGCUGCCGUCCUGUGUCUCCUGAUUUCUGCGUUUUUGAUCCUGAGGCUCUCUGCCUCUCUGCCUCCUCCCUGGAGGCCGUGCAAAUCCUGUUCUCCUUCCAGCGGUGAGUUCCUCCUGCUGACCACCUCCCCCGAUGCCCUCCACGCUGCACACUGGGCUGGUCUGCAGAGGUCGAAUGCACUCCCUGGUGACUUACACAUCUCACAAGUGCCCUCCAUCACCUGCUUGUGAACUCCUGACCACAGCAGCCUACUCCAUGUCCCCCUGUGGAUGCUGCAAUGCCCAGCACCACACUGGUGGCUCAAAGACUGCAUGCCUGAGACGGGGUCCAAACCCCUCUUCAACUGUCCUCCAAGCUUCAGGUCCACCGUGACCUCCCCCAACUCUGCUGCAGCUGCCGUGGUGCCAGCCCCCUGCCCCUCUCCUCCACCUCCAUAGAUCAGGCUUCAGUGUCUGGGGACCUGGGGACUGCUGUCCUCCUUCCCAGCAUGAAGUUCUACUGCAAGGGCCACUCUCCCUGUACAGGCCUUCCUGACCCCUCGUCCCUGGAAAGCCCUCUCCAGGGCCCUCGGCCUCGCUGUCUCACAUCACUCGCCUCCCUACCCCACCUCCCUCCUCGCACCUGGGACGCAGGUGCCCUCCGGUCACACCCUUCCAUCCCGUGUGGUGCUGAGCCCCUCACACACACGAGGGGCCCCGGAAUCACCUGCCACGUGAAUAAACAAAGUCAGAUCUGAAAUGCUUAAAAGCAAAUUAAACUUAACUCAUAAAAGGAGAAGAAAAAUGUUCAUUUAGAAAAGUUGUAUCUGUUUUCUUUCCAAAUAAAUUUACUUGUAGGA